rnacentral:rRNA from 1 species
UACAGAGGUCUCAAGCGUUGUUCGGAUUCAUUGGGCGUAAAGGGUGCGUAGGUGGCGAGACAAGUCAGAUGUGAAAUCCCGGGGCUCAACCCCGGAACUGCAUUUGAAACUGCCUUGCUCGAGUACUGGAGAGGAGACUGGAAUUUACGGUGUAGCAGUGAAAUGCGUAGAUAUCGUAAGGAAGACCAGUGGCGAAGGCGAGUCUCUGGACAGUUACUGACACUGAGGCACGAAGGCCAGGGGAGCAAACGGG